AAAAAAAAGAUAAAAAAAU
rnacentral:sRNA from 1 species